CUCCUGACCUCGUGAUCCACCCGUCUCGGCCUCCCAAAGUGCUGGGAUUACAGGCUUGAACCACCGCUCCCGGCCUCAGUUUCUGGAUUUUUAAGUGGAGGAAACCAGUAGUAUCUUCCUCCAUACAUGAACAGAACCCAAAAUAAGAUAUUGGAUGUGAAAGCAUUUUACAACAGUAAUAUAUAUUAUAUAUUAAUAAUGUAUAUAACAUAAUAAUACGAGAAGUAUGUGUGUGUUUAUCUCUUACUGUUUUCAUUUAGUAUUGACUUGGCCCAUUGGAACAGGGCUCGGGAGCCUUCAGGGCUGAAGCAGAGGGGCAAAGGCGGCAAGACCGUUCCAAGAGUGUGAACAAGAUUCUGCAGUCAGCGGCUCACAUCUGCUCGCUGCUUCUGUUCGUUGCCUUGUUCUUUCUGUCCCCUUGGUUUGCUUCCCUCGUCAGCACCUUUGAAAUAAACCAGGAUUCCAUUUUGGAAUUUCGGCGUGUAUUACAGGAA